GGACUACGCGGGUUUCUAAUCCUGUUUGAUCCCCACGCUUUCGUGCCUCAGCGUCAAUAUUUGUGUAGUGAGCUGCCUUCGCAAUUGGUGUUCUAUGUCAUAUCUAAGCAUUUCACCGCUACAUGACAUAUUCCGCUCACCUCCACAACAUUCAAGACACAUAGUAUCCAUGGCAGUUUCCGAGUUAAGCUCGGAGAUUUCACCACGGACUUACAUGCCCGCCUACGCACCCUUUAAACCCAGUGAAUCCGGAUAACGCUUGCACCCUCCGUAUUACCGCGGCGGCUGACAC
rnacentral:misc_RNA from 1 species